AUGUUCAUGAUGUCUAAAAGGAUUUAUGCAGUCCACUCCUAAGCAUGUUUACUUAGAAAUAUCUACCACUGAGGAGGUUUACUUCCAAAAUAAUUGUAUACAGAAUUGCAGAAUAACCUCCUGUCCAAAAUUCUUUUUUAAAAACUGAUUAGCAAAAUAGUGCUUUAUUCAUGUCUUAUCCAUGUUUUAGAGAAGAAGAAAUUGUGUAAACAAUUGACAGUUGCAUAAAUACAACAGCUUGAAUGAUUAGAGGCUUUUUCACAACGUGGUGUAGAUUCUGUCAACAUUUCUUUCUUCUAAAGCAGUAUUUUUCAAUCUUGCCGAUUUUAAGAUAUAUAGAGUUAUACUCUCACAAUUAUGGCUGCAGAAUUCUGGGAGUUGAAGUCCACACAUCUUAACAUUGCCAAAGUUGAAAAAACACUUUUAGAAAUUAUUGUUUCCAAGUGUUACAAAAUUAUUUUAAAUACUCUUUUCUGCUAGUUCACCCACUCCAUCUUUAACAGAUUUUACUAAUAAAGGUUUGUUUUCACAAACUAAGAAUACCCUUUUAUGCUGUUAGAUCUUUUUUCUCCUCCCUUAUAUCGCACCUUCCUUACGUUGCUUGCCCUCAUCUGACCAUGUGGCAUCGGUGGGAGGGGAAUCAAAGGGGAAAAUUUUGUAUUGGCUUACAAGAUAGUCUCUAGAUUGGAAUUCUACUUUGCAUUGAAUGGGGUGAUCAUGCCAAGUCUAGGGUAAAACUGGACUUUGGUUGUGUUUAUAGCAUGCUGGCCAAAAUAUACCAGAACUGACUGAUACUAUUCAUAAUUAACAAGCAUGGAAAAUGGCAUAUGGUAUGGCUAUAAAAAAAGCUGGUCACCAAGACUCCAGCUCCUUUAUCUUACUAAAAAGCAUUAUGUCAAAACCAAGAAAACUAUAUCAGAGGUCUGUACGCAAUGACUGUGAUAUACAGAUAAUUACCACUAGGAAUGUAAAAGGAAUUUAAGAUAAAAAACUGAAUUCACAAUUUUUUUUAAAAAAAAGAAUUAAAUUAAGAAACGACUGAAUAGAUCUGCAUGAAGAUAUUCUGAUCUUGUGGAAUAGAAUUAAUGAAUAGAUGCAUGGAAGUAAGGAUGUAAAUUUAGUUAUGAAUGAAAGGGCAAAAUUCACAUCAGACAGUACAGUAUAUGUUGCAUCUAGAUUGGUUUGGGUAAAUAUACAGGUAGGAAUUCCUGGAUUGGUAAUAGUUUUUAAGUUAUGUUACAAAUUAAGGUUGAAGUUUGGGAAUGCAACAUUUUGAAUGAAUGCAGUUGGGAUAGGAUGGGAUGGAUUUUUUUAUUUUCUUUUUGUUAAAUAGCAUGAAUGGAAGUUUGGAAAUGAGAGUACAAGUGUGUGUGGGGGGGGGAGGGGAGUGACCAGGAAUGAAUGAGAAUGAUUAUGAAUAACUGGUUGGAAGAAGUACUGUUUGUUUUAAAUACAUGGUUUAAACAUAUGUCCUUUCAUACAAUAAAGGAAAGAAUCUUGAAGCAAGAUGGAAUUGGUUGAUUAUAAUGAAAUGUUGAGAGAAGGUGAUGAGAGGCUGUUGAAUUUGGGACAAACUGCUAUUCAUACAAUCAAAAGAAGAUAGGGGGAGGGGAAUGGGCAUAAAAGGAAAGGAAAAUGAGUACAAAUACUUCUAUAGAACGACUACAAAAAUUUAAAAAAGGUGUGUCUUAUUGAGGAAAAUAGAGAUUAAAUGUUGAGAGGAAGUGCAGGUGAACUUCUUGUUCAGUGACAGUUCCAACUUAUGAUGGCACUGAACAAAUGGUAGAUAUAAACAGACAGCACUGCAUCCCUACAGUCACAUCAUUGUGAUUUGCAACCUCGCCUGCCAGCUUCUCAGAAGCAGAGUCAGUGGAGAAGCUGGAAGGAAGUUGAAGGUUGCAGUCACUUGACGUCCUCGCUUAAUGACUUAUGUGGCCCUUGUUUAAUGAUGGCAGCUGCCAGAACUGUCCUUAAGCAGCAUAAUUAGAUGGUUUUUCAACUUGCAACCAGGUUACUUAACAGUGAAGUUUCUAGUCCAAUUAACUUUGUUAAACUAGGAUUACCUCGAGUAUAGAGGGACACGGAAGCUGCUUGAAGAGAGUGAGGAGAAUCAAACUACAGAAUCCAGUGUAAAAAGU